AGAAUACCUGGACCAGGUGGAGGUGGGAAGCGCUGAGGUAGGGGUGAGAGAGAAGAGGAUUCAGGCUGCUGAGGAACUCCCAAAACAAAUGGACAAGAAGGAGGAAGCAUGGAAGAAAUGGGGAGCACUUCAGAGAAAAACAAGACACUGAAGAUGAAGGAGAAGGAAUGGGACUCUGAACAGAGGCCUUUAGAAGUAACUGCCCUUUAAUGAUGGAGGGAUCGUUUUUCUCUGGGACCACACUUUUUUUUUUGGCAGACUGCUAUGUGCCCUUGAAAUGAG